CCCCCAGCUUUAAACGGCGAUUUAAACCCUAUGAACCAUUGGCUUGAAUAAACCUAGCUUAAACCCUAUGAACCCUCCCUGAAACUCCCACUGAAACCCGCCCAGAGUCGGAGACCGUCAACAUUUCAGCAAAGCUUCCUCAAUUCAGGGCUUGUAGAAACCAGAGAGAGAUUUAGAAAUGGGGUUAGGGUCAAAAGGGUUGGUGAAGAAGGGGAUGAUGGGGUUGGGAGAGAUGGGUUUCAACACCGGAGGCGGAGCCAUCAAUUGGUUCCCAGGCCACAUGGCUGCCGCCACACGGGCCAUCCGCGAUCGCCUCAAGCUCGCCGACUUCGUUAUCGAGGUCCGCGACGCUCGGAUUCCACUGUCCUCUGCCAACCAAGACCUCCAGCCCCAACUCCGCGCCAAACGCUCCCUCAUUGUCCUCAACAAGAAGGACCUCGCCAAUACCAAUAUCAUGCAAAAAUGGACUCGGUUUUUCGAAUCGUCCAAGCAAGAUUGCCUUCCUAUAAAUGCACAUAGCAGGAGUUCCGUUUCCAAGCUUCUCGACCUGGUGGAGUAUAAGCUGAAGGAAGCGAUUUCGAGGGAACCUACUCUGCUUGUUAUGGUGGUUGGUGUUCCUAAUGUUGGGAAAUCAGCUCUAAUCAAUAAUAUUCAUCGGAUUGCAUCAUCUCGCUUUCCCGUUCAGGGGAAGAUGAAGCGCGCUACAGUGGGUCCAUUGCCUGGCGUUACUCAGGACAUUGCUGGAUUCAAGAUUGCUCAUCAGCCUAGCAUAUAUGUUCUUGACACUCCAGGUGUUUUGGUUCCAAGUAUCCCUGACAUAGAGACGGGGUUAAAGCUAGCUCUAGCAGGAUCUAUUAAGGACUCAGUGGUAGGGGAGGAUCGAAUUGCUCAAUACUUACUCGCAGUUCUAAAUUCAAGAGGGACGCCUUUUCACUGGAAAUACUCAAAUACUAGGAGAAUGGAAGGGAUUCAAUAUGAAGCCGAGGGAAAAAUUGGUUACAGCCUUAAGAACCUUCGACCUAAUAGAAGGAAGGUGCCAAAUAAGUCCGAUGUGCUGUACAUUGAGGUAACUGAGAUUACUGUGGUCUUGUCUUUCCUUAUAUACAAUGCGUAAUGGUGGUAAUGUCAAACUUAAUAUGCUUAGUCACUUUAUUUGAACACUAACAGAAGAACAUACUUUCUGAAACAUACACGGAUAUAUUUUUUUUGAAUAAGCCUGGGACCAGUUUACUGACUAGGAGAAACCACAUUGUAGAUUAAGCACUAAAGCAAAGGUGUCUCACAUCAAAUCAUGAACGUUUUGCUGUCAUUUGUUUAAAAGUAGGCAUUAUAGGUGCAAGACAAUACUCUGGUAGUUUUACCUGGAUUAAACUGCUGAGGUAAAGGAUUCUCACAUUCAUGUAUGAUACAAUCUUCACUUGUUGGAGUCGCCACUAAUACUAGCUCAAUAGAGACUUGUUUUCUUUUGGUUUUUGGUUAUGUCAUUUGUAAAGGUACGGUCAAUUCAAGAUGCGGUUAUUACAAGUUGAAGUUACUUGAUGUUUGGUGCCACACCAUUUGUGAUUUGCAACUUAGGUUUGGAUUUCUUAGUAGAAAGUAGAUUGUUUGUUUCCCUGUGUUCUCUGCAUUGUAAUGCUUCUAAUAGAUUGGGUAAUCAUGAAUAUGGAAAAGAGAAGGGAUAGUACACGAUGUACUAUGGACCUAUGGUUUGAUAUGAUGUCAUGGAAAGUAAGGGGCAAGAAAGGUGUCCUUAACAUGUUACGAGAAGCUUGGAGGUGAAGCCACUAUUCUCCAUAGGCUUGUCUAGACUCUGUUCCUUAACUUGUUACUUAGAUGAGUAACUCAUUUAUGACCUUUCAAACGGGAAGUGACAACUAAAUUUUUCAUAUUAAAGUCAUCUGACUGACAUUUCAAGUAAGGAAACAAAUUGGGGAAUUCCUAUUGCAAGUAACUUUAUUAUAAUUAGCAUUUUUCCCCCGUUUAAAGCUUAAAUUCGUAAUUUGCAAGUAUUGUCAGGAGUGUAUAUGAAUUUUGAGCUUAUCUUUUAUUUUCUUUGGUCACUAACCCACUGAUACUCUUACACUAGCAGUUAAGUUUUUCUCCCCAGAUGUGUGGCUCAUCAGUUUGCAGCUGACACUUUUUAAGUGUAGCUUAGAUAAGAAUCUCCGGCGUGAUCAGCUAAUAUAUUGUUAUGAUUUUAUGUCUUCUAAAAUUCUAGUAUUGUUCAUGUUGC